AUUUAAUGAGUCCCAAAUAGGACGAAACAUGUGUCUUGAAU
rfam:Schistosoma curassoni strain Dakar, Senegal genome assembly, scaffold: SCTD_scaffold0000716